AUACAAAUUGCUGGAACACUGUCCUAUUAAACUCUUCCCUCUGGAGCCCCUUGCUUUGAGAGAUGGUGCAAGCACGUCUUUCAUUCGCCUCCUUUUCCUAUUCUCUCUGCAACCAAUUUCUGGAAUACAUGAACCAUGGCUAAGAAACAGCUGUGGUCAGACGGGCCAUUGCUGUACUGAUGUCAGGUGGUGAUGGCCAAGGGAGGAAUGCAGCUGUGAGGGCCACUGUCAGAGUUGGCCUUUACACUGGAGCACAAGUCGUCUUUGUCCAUGAGGGCUAUCAGGGAUUGGUUGAUGAAGGGAAUCACAUCCGUCCUGCUACUUGGGAGAGUGUGUCCGUGAUACUACAGCUGGUGUGACCUCAGAUGCUAGAAUGGUGGUACAGUCAUUGGCGGUGCCCUCUGUAAGGAUUUCCAGACCAGAGAGGGGCGUUUGAAGGCUGCCUACAAUCUCGUCAAACUAGGCGUCACCCACCUUUGUGUAACUGCCGAUGGCAGUUUAAUUGGUGCCAACUUAUUUCGCACAGAGUGGAGUGACUUGCUGAAAGUCUUAUCAGCAAAUGUAAACCAGGCAUUUUAUUAAAAAUAUUAUUUACAAUUUAAAACUAACUUUUUAAAAGUUUGUUUGUGUAUGUGUGUGAGUACUAGUGUUCCCUAUACGUUAUUGGGAAUAUGUCCCCACAAGGAUAAUAAUACCAACAAAUUUGGACAUUGUGUGGACAUUUUUGAGAGACAGUAUUAAAAUUAAGUCACAUGGCAUCUGAUGUACAGAAGCCACUGGUAGAUGCCACUAUGCUCAUCUAGUGACACUUCUGGUUUUCACUGGCAUGUACCGCUGACACUUGUGACAUGUGCUGAUGGACUGUUUCAGUGUUGCUUGUCAAUAUUGUUGCGGGACAUACCACCAUACUGUUGAGGUGUACACUCGAGAGACAAUGCCGCUGUCAGCUGGAGUAUAAUGUAGACUGUGUAACACACGCACUUUAUUGCCGAACAACCAUUAGGCUUCUUCAUCUGUUUAAUAUUUGUCUUGUGUAAUGUAUUUAUAUUAAUCUUUGCCAACACCCCAGACUCUGUUAGUGUGUUGGGCAUGAGAAGUGUCUUUCCCUCAGACACUGUAUUCCGCAGAACCCGUGAUGGUUGAAGCUGAGGCCUAUUAUGAAGAUCUUGGCCAAGAACAAGAUUAGUCUGGACACCUCUGAACAUGCUUUUAGGGAGCAUGUCAUCAGCAAGAAGCCUCCAGUGCACAUGACUCUCCGGAAGUAAUCGUGAGCAAAAAUGUGGACUGACAGAUACAUCAAGCAUAUGAAAUGACUGAAUUAUUUAUUUAAAUAAUUAUUUGUUUGUCUGUCUUUUUCUUAUUCUUUUAUUUGUUUGUAAAUUUAGUGUUUAUGGUAACGCUGUUGCAU